rnacentral:misc_RNA from 1 species
UAUUGUGAUAAAUUUGAGCUUCUAUUGGAGAAUUAUUGUCACUGCAAUUGUAUAGAGGAUAAUGUAUAAAUGGGAAAGGCACUGCUAGGUAGCUUUUUAGAGCAGAGGGUGAAGCCUUAGUGACCAUGUUCAAUAAAUAAUCAUGGAUAAUGAACUUAAUAUGUUUGGUAAAUUAUGAAUAGAUAGCAUAUUGCCUCUUUGAUUAUUGCAUGGAAUGAAAAAGAACUUUAUAAAUUUUGUUAAUGGUCCAUUUUUCAUACAUAUUGAGAAUCCUGUAUAACUGUGAAAUAUGGUGUGGCUUUAGAUACUGUAUGAAACUCUUCACUGCAUGCUUGAACUUUUAGGUCUGAAACCUUGGUAUGGUAUUAAAGUCAGAUAUCAUAUUGUUUUAUUUUUGUUAUUGUUUGCCUCACAUGCUAUUUCUGCUUGGCAGUUAGGUAGGUCCAUUACAUUAUCAAGUAUGUUGUGUAAUAGUGUUACUCUAUUAGGUCCAUUUUGUUAUCUUGCAAUCAGCAGCUUCUCUUGAUUUUAUCUUUAAUCUUCAUCUAAUAGCAGGUCUUAUACUGUCUCAAAUAAAGGUGUGGCUGGUGUGUCCAUUAUUUUAUCCAAAAAUCUUUGGAAAAUAUACUUUUGGCAAGACAAAUUUGCCAAUCUAAUAUACAUUAACAUCCUGCUUGUGGUACUUAAUUGUAUAAAAGCCUUUGCAUUGUCAAUUUGAAAUGUGAGAUUACAA